AUUCACUCGGCGUGCACAAAGGCGCACGUCUCGGCACGGAGGAGCUUCGCGAACGCGCCGCGCGCGGUGACGAGGACGAGGACGAAGAGGCGUUCGACAUGCGCAACGCCGUCGCGAAGGCGCCAGCGAUCGAAUCGUACUCGCAAAACCUCGAAAUUCAGGAGCGAUACUUCCCCAAGAGCGACCGUAACGACGAUGGCGGAUCGAAAACCCCGACCGCGGAGUAGACGCAGUAGACUUAGUGUAGAGCAAUCGACGCCGCGCGCGCGACGUCGGAAAUGAUACAAAAUUAAAACAAAAUGCGCGCGCGCAUCGCCUACGUCUGCGAAACAAAGGAGCAACGCGCGGUCAGCGCCACGUUCACCGCGCGCGAUGGACAAAAAAAAUCCAAGCGAAUGUCCCGGGAAUUGCUCACGGCUUCGACGUCGACCGAUACGACGGAAGCCCCGAUUGUCCCCGGCAAUUUUAUAUCGCGUGUUAUUAUUUUAUGAUGGUUCAUCGCACAGGUGGGUAUCAACCACCCUCGAUCGACGAACCCGUCCCACACGCUUUUCCCUUCUCGCGAAAAAGUCGCGCUCGCGUUCGCGUUCGCGUUCGCGUUCGCGUUCGCCUCGCCUCGAGUCGGGUCAGAGCAAAGAUGACAUCGUGUGCGUUCGUGUCUUCACGCGUCCAUCGCCGAUCGACGGGCGUCGGAGAGAAGAUUAGCGUACGCGUGUGACUCAUCAUCCCCGUCGCGCGGUCGCCGUCGCGUCGCGCCGUCCCGUCGCACCUCUCCACCGUUCCGACGCAAAACCUCACCGCCGCGCGUCGUCGUCGUUCGCGCGCGCGUCGCGUCGCGUCGCGUCGCCGCGUCGCCGCGCCGUCCCUUCGCGCCGCGCCGCGCCGUCCUUCGCGCCGUCCUUCGCGCCGCGCCGCCGCGUCGAC
rnacentral:lncRNA from 1 species